rnacentral:rRNA from 1 species
AUGCGGCGCAUUAGCUAGACGGCGGGGUGACGGCCCACCGUGGCGACGAUGCGUAGGGGUUCUGAGAGGAAGGCCCCCCACACUGGGACUGAGACACGGCCCAGACUCCUACGGGAGGCAGCAGUGAGGAAUAUUGGUCAAUGGGCGGAAGCCUGAACCAGCCAAGUCGCGUGAGGGAUUAAGGCCCUGCGGGUCGUAAACCUCUUUUGCCGGGGAGCAGUGGUCCGGACGCGUCCGGGCCGGGAGAGUACCCGGAGAAAAAGCAUCGGCUAACUCCGUGCCAGCAGCCGCGGUAAUACGGAGGAUGCGAGCGUUAUCCGGAUUUAUUGGGUUUAAAGGGUGCGUAGGCGGGCAUUUAAGCCGGCGGUCAAAUGUCGGGGCUCAACCCCGGCCUGCCGUCGGAACUGGGUGCCUUGAGUGGGCGAGAAGUAUGCGGAAUGCGUGGUGUAGCGGUGAAAUGCAUAGAUAUCACGCAGAACCCCGAUUGCGAAGGCAGCAUACCGGCGCCCUACUGACGCUGAGGCACGAAAGUGCGGGUAUCGAACAGGAUUAGAUACCCUGGUAGUCCGCACAGUAAACGAUGGAUGCUAUCUGUCCGGGCCGAAUGAGGCCUGGGUGGC